UAGAUUAAACCCUGGAUUAGCACAUAGGCUACUUUUUAUCCCGGAAAAUCAUAGAGUUCCCACGGGAUUCUUAAAAAACCUACAUCCACGCGAACGAAGUCGCGGAUAUCAGCUAGUAUUGAAUAUGAGCUUGAAGCGACAAAUAUUGACGAUGUUGAGAGUGUGCGUUAAUUUAGUUUACGUUUUGUAUAAAACCUUUUUUGAUUACCUAUUGUAAGUACAUAAUUAUUGAUUGGUUAGCUAUACAAAUAAAGCAUUAAAACAAAAGUAAGCAAGUAAGUAGAUUUUAAGGGCCUGUGCAGAUGAGGGACUCUGGUCCGAAGAGGACAAAAGUCCUUCAACUCUUACUACAUUAUUUCACCCUAAUAUUAGCCCACAGUGGGCGAUGUAGUUCUUAUUGAUCCAUUUUGUCCUCCGCGGACAAAAAUUCCUUGUCAGCGCAGGCCAUUAGACUUACUGGUUUAGGUCUAAGAUAGAAUUAUCACAAACUUUAGAUCAAUGUUCAAAGUUCAAAAACAUUUAUUUCAGUCGAACAGUUUUAUAUAGUACAUGGAAAUUGGGACCAUCCCAGUAAGUGACUAGUAUUACUACUAGUACUUGUGGCAGGCGGCCUCGCUCUUCCAGAACAUG